GACGAACGCUGGCGGCGUGCUUAACACAUGCAAGUCGAACGGUGAAGCUCCAGCUUGCUGGCGUGGAUCAGUGGCGAACGGGUGAGUAACACGUGAGCAACCUGCCCCAGACUCUGGAAUAAGCGCUGGAAACGGCGUCUAAUACUGGAUACGAGAUCAAGCCGCAUGGUUAUGGUCUGGAAAGUUUUUCGGUUUGGGAUGGGCUCGCGGCCUAUCAGCUUGUUGGUGAGGUAAUGGCUCACCAAGGCGACGACGGGUAGCCGGCCUGAGAGGGCGACCGGCCACACUGGGACUGAGACACGGCCCAGACUCCUACGGGAGGCAGCAGUGGGGAAUAUUGCACAAUGGGCGAAAGCCUGAUGCAGCGACGCCGCGUGAGGGAUGACGGCCUUCGGGUUGUAAACCUCUUUCAGCAGGGAAGAAGCGAAAGUGACGGUACCUACAGAAGAAGCACCGGCUAACUACGUG
rnacentral:rRNA from 1 species